rnacentral:rRNA from 1 species
AGCAGCCGCGGUAAUUCCAGCUCCAAUAGCGUAUAUUAAAGUUGUUGCAGUUAAAAAGCUCGUAGUUGAAUUUCGGGAUUAGUACGUCGGUCGUGCCUUCGGUACGUACUGGUGUUACUGAUUCCUACCUUCUGACGAACCAUCAUGUCAUUAAUUUGGUGUGGCGGGGAAUCAGGACUGUUACUUUGAAAAAUUAGAGUGUUUAAAGCAGGCUCGCGCUUGAAUACAUUAGCAUGGAAUAAUGAAAUAGGACGUUGACCCUAUUUUGUUGGUUUCUAGGAUUGACGUAAUGAUUAAUAGGGAUAGUUGGGGGCAUUAGUAUUCAAUUGUCAGAGGUGAAAUUCUUGGAUUUAUUGAAGACUAACUACUGCGAAAGCAUUUGCCAAGGAUGUUUUCAUUAAUCAAGAACGAAAGUUAGGGGAUCGAAGACGAUCAGAUACCGUCGUAGUC